rnacentral:rRNA from 1 species
UGCGUAGGCGGAAUAAUAAGUCAGUGGUGAAAUCCUGCAGCUUAACUGUAGAACUGCCAUUGAUACUGUUAUUCUUGAGUAUAGUUGAGGUAGGCGGAAUGUGUAAUGUAGCGGUGAAAUGCUUAGAUAUUACACAGAACACCAAUUGCGUAGGCAGCUUACUAAACUAUUACUGACGCUGAGGCACGAAAGCGUGGGGAGCGAACAGGAUUAGAUACCCUGGUAGUCC